rnacentral:lncRNA from 1 species
CCCUAUCUAACCAUGCGCCCGUGCCGGCCCGUUGUUCAACUUUACCCGCACGUGUGCGCCCUAGCUCUAACCUGUGCUUUCGGUUGCGAGCACAUGCAAACACUCACCACGCUCGACCGUCGCCAAAUGCCCAUGCGCGUGUGCCCCCGUGUCUGCGCCCCGCUUGCCUCGUGCGUGUGUGGCCGCACGUCUACAUCGUCGCGCUCGCCCUCCUGCGAGAGCAUGAACAAAGGAACGACAUGUUGUGGGAAGAACGGACGGACCUGGUCAUACGUAAGUCGCAACAUAAGAGUCCGUUGUGUGGUGAUUCGCUUGAGAGGUAACAAUGUGGCACAUUAGUCUACCACAUAUAGAAGAAGCAAAAAACCUGGAGAAUGUAUAAAUAGUUUAGGGUCCAAAUGCACAAG